AUCUGGUGGUGACACGACAGCCCGGCACUAGAUGUAUGCUCAUCCUCGCUGUCGCCGCAGGGGAAUCCGGUGCGAAUCCGGAACUGUCCCGCAACGGUGUACUUGUGUGCAUCCGCACGCCUGUGUCAGUCCGAGGACCUGCCGCCAGCACGCACCCGGCC
rnacentral:ncRNA from 15 species